GGUCUCUGAGGUUUCCCCGGCCCUUCGCCCCUGUCCUGCCUGGCUGAUGUUGCAUCUUUCUGUGAGGUCAUCACCUCCCCACCACCUUUGACCAAUAGUCUGAGGUCCUGCAAAAGGCCUUUGUGAUGUCACUGCCACACCCCUCCCUUGCUGUGCUAAUGUCCUGCCCCUGGCCAGGCACUUUGGAGGUUUGAGCUACUCCCUGUGGAUCACCCCACUCAAGGAGCGUUCGUUCUAGGAAGCAAGCUGGCUAGACAGGAAAACAUCAGACGCUGCUCUCAAUGCUACACUCAGUUUUCUCAGACAUUAGUCAACUUUAUGGCCAGAAGAGACCAUUAGAGUAUCUAAUCUGAUCCCCUGCAUAUCGCAGGCCUCCUGUAUGACACAAGAGCUACUUUGGGGGCAAACACAUUCCAGAAGGCAUCUAGUCUUCAUUAAAUGACAUCAGGAGAUGGCAAAUCCACCACUUUCCUUGGUAGCUUGUUCCUGUGGU